rnacentral:rRNA from 1 species
UACGUAGGGCGCAAGCGUUGUCCGGAAUUAUUGGGCGUAAAGAGCUCGUAGGCGGCCUGUUACGUCUGCUGUGAAAUCCCGGGGCUUAACCCCGGGCGUGCAGUGGAUACGGGCAGGCUGGAGGCAGGCAGGGGAGAACGGAAUUCCCGGUGUAGUGGUGGAAUGCGUAGAUAUCGGGAGGAACACCAGUGGCGAAGGCGGUUGCCUGGGGCUUUGCUGACGCUGAUGCGCGAAAGCGUGGGGAGCGAUCCGG